AAGCUCGUAGUUGAAUUUCGGGAUCAGUAUGUUGGUCGUGCUUCGGUACGUACUGUCAUUACUGGUUUCUCCCUUCUGAAGAACCUUGAUGUCAUUAAUUUGGUGUCUUGGGGAAUCAGGACUGUUACUUUGAAAAAAUUAGAGUGUUUAAAGCAGGCAUACGCUUGAAUACAUUAGCAUGGAAUAAUGAAAUAGGACGUUUGAUUCUAUUUUGUUGGUUUCUAGGAUCGACGUAAUGAUUAAUAGGGAUAGUUGGG
rnacentral:rRNA from 1 species